GAGCGUAUAGCUCAGUUGGUAGAGUGCGUGCUUAGCAUGCACGAGGUCCUGAGUUCAAUUCCCAGUACCUCCA
rnacentral:tRNA from 1 species